rnacentral:rRNA from 1 species
GAUGAACGCUGGCGGCGUGCCUAAUACAUGCAAGUCGAGCGAACGGACGAGAAGCUUGCUUCUCUGAUGUUAGCGGCGGACGGGAGAGUAACACGUGGAUAACCCACCUAUAAGACUGGGAUAACUUCGGGAAACCGUAGCUAAUACCGGAUAAUAUUUUGAACCGCAUGGUUCAAAAGUGAAAGACGGUCUUGCUGUCACUUAUAGAUGGAUCCGCGCUGCAUUAGCUAGUUGGUAAGGUAACGGCUUACCAAGGCAACGAUGCAUAGCCGACCUGAGAGGGUGAUCGGCCACCCUGGAGCUGAGACGCGGUCCAGGGUCCUACGGGAGGCAGCAGUAGGUAAUCUUCCGCAAUGGGCGAAAGCCUGACGGAGCGGCGCCGCGUGAGUGAUGAAGGUCUUCGGAUCGUAAAACUCUGUUAUUGGGGAAGAACAUAUGUGUAAGUAACUGUGCACAUCUUGACGGUACCUAAUCAAAAAGCCACGGCUAACUACGUG